rnacentral:sRNA from 1 species
ACAUAAAGAUUGCGCCCAGGCUCUCGAUACAUCGAAAGGGUGUUAGACUUAUCUGAAGGCAGGUAGGGAAUCGUUACGGACUUAGCGCACAGAGCGGUCCACAAUGGCGUGGCUU